rnacentral:rRNA from 1 species
UUAGGAAUUUUGCGCAAUGGGCGAAAGCCUGACGCAGCAACGCCGCGUGAGGGAAGACGGCUUUCGGGUUGUAAACCUCUUUUAGCAGGGACGAACACAAUGAUGGUACCUGCAGAAAAAGCACCGGCUAACUACGUGCCAGCAGCCGCGGUAAUACGUAGGGUGCAAGCGUUAUUCGGAUUUAUUGGACGUAAAGCGCAUGUAGGCGGUUCGGUAAGUCUGGUGUGAAAGCCCUCGACUCAAUCGAGGAAGUGCAUUGGACACUGUCGAACUGGAGUACAGGAGGGGUGAGCGGAAUUCCAGGUGUAGAGGUGAAAUUCGUAGAUAUCUGGAGGAACAACAGCGGCGAAGGCGGCUCACUGGACUGUAACUGACGCUCAGAUGCGAUAGUGUGGGGAGCAAACAG